rnacentral:rRNA from 1 species
GUGCCAAGCAGCCGCGGUAAUUCCAGCUCCAAUAGCGUAUACUAAUGCUGUUGCUGUUAAAAAGUUCGUAUUUCGAUAAGGAUUGAUUCUGGUUCAGAUUCAGUGGACCUGAUAAUAUCGUGCCGCAGUCAGUUCCUUCGGGUUAUGCUGUGGUACUAAGCUCUAGUUUACCGGUAUUAACAGGGAUGAACGGAGCAGUGUGUAUUGGCUCGCGAGAGGUGAAAUUCAUAGACCGUGCCAAGAAAAACGUAAGCGAAGGCAUUCUGCAAGUAUAUCUUCACUAAUCAAGAACGAGAGUACAGGGAUCGAAGAUGAUCAGAUACCGUCGUAGUCUGCUACUGUAAACGAUGCGAACUCGGGAUCAACCGUCGCCAAUCUUUUCGAUUACCAGGCUGGAACCUACUUAUUUCUCCCAGCGUGAGUUUAUGCGUUCAGGGGGAGUACAGUUGCAAGGCUGAAACUUAAAGGAAUUGAGUUUAUACGUUCAGUGGGAGUACAGUUGCAAGGCUGAAACUUAAAGGAAUUGACGGAAUGACACCACAAGGCGUGGAUGAUGCGGUUUAAUUUGACUCAACACGGGGAAUCUCACCAGGUCAGGACGCAUGUUGGAUUCACAGAUUGAAAGCUCUUUCUUGAUUAUGUGUAUGGUGGUGCAUGGCCGCUCCUGGUUGGUGGAGUAAUUUGUCUGGUUGAUUCCGUUAACGAACGAGAUCUUGUCCCUUCAAUGACAGUUUGAUCGUAUCUGUAAUCCAGUCGACGUGCUUGCAUGCCUGCACUGAAUGAGAUCUUGUCUUGUACUCAAGGGGACGAUGCAUGUUGACAAUGCAUGGAAGUGCGAGCCAAUAGCAGGUCUGUGAUGC